CUCCGCGUUUCCUGUGUCUGUUAAGAGUUUCCCAAACCUCCUCCCUCCCGCACUAGGCCGGAUUCUGACGAAACCUUACUCAAUUGUAGCUGACUGCAGAGCCCUGAAGUUUAGAGUCCUCCUAGCAGCGGUAACUGGAGGGUCCCAUUUAGUCACAAAAGGAAAAAAAAUCAUGGAGCCGUAUUAUAUAUUCAGCAUUUGGCUAUUUAUUCACCUAGGUGCUGCUCUGGGGGACUCGAUCCAGUCCAGGGAGCCCCACCUCUCUGGAAGAGAAGGAGACGCUGUGACCCUCACUUGUUCUUAUUAUACCAGCUCUACCGGCUACGUCUAUCUCUACUGGUACCGUCAGUUUCCCAACCAAGCCCCGCGGUACAUUCUCUGGAGAGGAGCGAAGCAGGCCAGAGGUCAGAGUGAUACCGCAGAUUUCGCCAAGAAGAGAUUUUCUUCCCAGGCGGAUGACAGCUCCACAGCUCUGAGCAUCACAGCCCUGGAGCUGGCAGACACGGCGGUGUAUUACUGCGCCCUGCGUGUGGCACAGUGACAGAGUCACAUAGGAGAGCCGCACAAAAACCCUCCCUUUCCUGCUUCAUUGGAUGUUCAGAGAUUAAUGCUGCUUGCAGAUCUCCGGAGGGGACUCCUUCCACUAUGUACAACCACAUAUUUUGGGAUGAAUAGGGGACCUCAGUGUAUUUGUUCUAGCUCCUCCCAAGAGUCAAGCACUUAUUUAAAGAGCUACAUUCAACUGUCACGCCUGGAGACUAUAAAGGGCAUGAGCUUAAACCAGGAAACAUCUUAGACAUUUUUCUCCACAGUUCUCCAGCGGGCCUCUCCGUGUGUAGUGUGGGACCAAAAAAAAUUGCUCAUUUGUACUA